AAUGAACGCUGGCGGCAGGCCUAAAACAUGCAAGUCGAACGCCCUAGCAAUAGGGAGUGGCGCACGGGUGAGUAACAUGUGGGAAUAUGCCUUUUGGUACGGAACAACGUUUGGAAACGAACGCUAAUACCGUAUGGUCCCUCCGGGGUAAAGAUUUAUCGCCAAAAGAUUAGCCCGCACUAGAUUAGCUAGUUGGUAAGGUAAUGGCUUACCAAGGCGACGAUCUAUAGCUGUUCUGAGAGGAAGAUCAGCCACACUGGGACUGAGACACGGCCCAGACUCCUACGGGAGGCAGCAGUUAGGAAUAUUGGACAAUGGGCGCAAGCCUGAUCCAGCCAUGCCGCGUGAGUGAUGAAGGCCUUCGGGCUGUAAAGCUCUUUAGCCGACGAAUAUAAUGACUGUAGUCGGAGAAUAAGCCCCGGCUAACUUCGUGCCAGCAGCCGCUGUAACAC
rnacentral:rRNA from 1 species